rnacentral:rRNA from 1 species
GAUGAACGCUGGCGGCGUGCCUAAUACAUGCAAGUCGAGCGAACGGACGAGAAGCUUGCUUCUCUGAUGUUAGCGGCGGACGGGUGAGUAACACGUGGAUAACCUACCUAUAAGACUGGGAUAACUUCGGGAAACCGGAGCUAAUACCGGAUAAUAUUUUGAACCGCAUGGUUCAAAAGUGAAAGACGGUCUUGCUGUCACUUAUAGAUGGAUCCGCGCUGCAUUAGCUAGUUGGUAAGGUAACGGCUUACCAAGGCAACGAUGCAUAGACGACCUGAGAGGGUGAUCGGCCACACGGGAACUGAGACACGGUCCAGACUCCUACGGGAGGCAGCAGUAGGGAAUCUUCCGCAAUGGGCGAAAGCCUGACGGAGCAACGCCGCGUGAGUGAUGAAGGUCUUCGGAUCGUAAAACUCUGUUAUUAGGGAAGAACAUAUGUGUAAGUAACUGUGCACAUCUUGACGGUACCUAAUCAGAAAGCCACGGCUAACUACGUG